GCGAGCDGUGGCGGAAUGGUAGACGCGCUGUCUUCAGGUGGCAGUGAGUGUAUGCUCGUGGGGGUUCAACUCCCCCCGCUCGCACCA
rnacentral:tRNA from 1 species